rnacentral:rRNA from 1 species
UACCAGCACCCCGAGUGGUCGGGACGUUUUAUUGGGCCUAAAGCAUCCGUAGCCGGUUCUACAAGUCUUCCGUUAAAUCCAACUGCUUAACAGGUGGGCUGCGGAAGAUACUAUAGAGCUAGGAGGCGGGAGAGGCAAGCGGUACUCAUGGGUAGGGGUAAAAAUCCGUUGAUCCAUUGAAGACCACCAGUGGCGAAAGGCGGCU